rnacentral:rRNA from 1 species
GACGAACGCUGGCGGCGUGCUUAACACAUGCAAGUCGAACGGUAAGGCUCCAGCUUGCUGGGGUACACGAGUGGCGAACGGGUGAGUAACACGUGGGUGACCUGCCCUGCACUUCGGGAUAAGCCUGGGAAACUGGGUCUAAUACCGGAUAGGACUGCACCGUGAGGGUGUGGUGGAAAGUUUUUUCGGUGUGGGAUGGGCCCGCGGCCUAUCAGCUUGUUGGUGGGGUAAUGGCCUACCAAGGCGGCGACGGGUAGCCGGCCUGAGAGGGUGGACGGCCACAUUGGGACUGAGACACGGCCCAGACUCCUACGGGAGGCAGCAGUGGGGAAUAUUGCACAAUGGGCGGAAGCCUGAUGCAGCGACGCCGCGUGGGGGAUGACGGCCUUCGGGUUGUAAACUCCUUUCACCAUCGACGAAGGGUUUCUGACGGUAGAUGGAGAAGAAGCACCGGCUAACUACGUGCCAGCAGCCGCGGUAAUACGUAGGGUGCGAGCGUUGUCCGGAAUUACUGGGCGUAAAGAGCUCGUAGGUGGUUUGUCGCGUCGUCUGUGAAAUUCCGGGGCUUAACUCCGGGCGUGCAGGCGAUACGGGCAUAACUUGAGUACUGUAGGGGAGACUGGAAUUCCUGGUGUAGCGGUGAAAUGCGCAGAUAUCAGGAGGAACACCGGUGGCGAAGGCGGGUCUCUGGGCAGUAACUGACGCUGAGGAGCGAAAGCAUGGGGAGCGAACAGGAUUAGAUACCCUGGUAGUCCAUGCCGUAAACGGUGGGCGCUAGGUGUGAGGGUCUUUCUACGACUUUCGUGCCGUAGCUAACGCAUUAAGCGCCCCGCCUGGGGAGUACGGCCGCAAGGCUAAAACUCAAAGGAAUUGACGGGGGCCCGCACAAGCGGCGGAGCAUGUGGAUUAAUUCGAUGCAACGCGAAGAACCUUACCUGGGCUUGACAUACACCAGAUUGGGCUAGAGAUAGUUCGUCCCUUUGUGGUUGGUGUACAGGUGGUGCAUGGUUGUCGUCAGCUCGUGUCGUGAGAUGUUGGGUUAAGUCCCGCAACGAGCGCAACCCUUGUCUUAUGUUGCCAGCACGUUGUGGUGGGGACUCGUAAGAAACUGCCGGGGUUAACUCGGAGGAAGGUGGGGAUGACGUCAAAUCAUCAUGCCCCUUAUGUCCAGGGCUUCACACAUGCUACAAUGGUCGGUACAGUGGGUUGCCAGUCCGUGAGGGCGAGCUAAUCCCGCAAAGCCGGUCUCAGUUCGGAUCGGGGUCUGCAACUCGACCCCGUGAAGUCGGAGUCGCUAGUAAUCGCAGAUCAGCAACGCUGCGGUGAAUACGUUCCCGGGCCU